UACGGAGGGUGCAAGCGUUGCUCGGAAUUAUUGGGCGUAAAGGGCAGGUAGGUGGUCUCAUUUGUCUGGGGUGAAAGCCUUGGGCUCAACUCAAGAAGUGCCCCAGAAACGGUGAGACUCGAGUGCUGGAGAGGCUAGUGGAAUUCCCGGUGUAGCGGUGAAAUGCGUAGAGAUCGGGAGGAACACCAGAGGCGAAGGCGGCUAGCUGGACAGUAACUGACACUCAACUGCGAAAGCGUGGGGAGCAAACAGG
rnacentral:rRNA from 1 species